rnacentral:rRNA from 1 species
GAUGAACGCUGGCGGCGUGCUUAACACAUGCAAGUCGAACGAGAGAAGAUCGGUGCUUGCACUGAUCCGAUCGAGUGGCGGACGGGUGAGUAACGCGUGGGUAACCUGCCUCAUACAGGGGAAUAACAGUUGGAAACGGCUGCUAAAACCGCAUAAGCGCACAGUAUCGCAUGAUACAGUGUGAAAAACUCCGGUGGUAUGAGAUGGACCCGCGUCUGAUUAGCUAGUUGGUGAGGUAACGGCCCACCAAGGCAACGAUCAGUAGCCGGCCGGAGAGGGUGAACGGCCACAUUGGGACUGAGACACGGCCCAAAAUCCUACGGGAGGCAGCAGUGGGAAUAUUGCACAAUGGGGGAAACCCUGAUGCAGCGACGCCGCGUGAGUGAUGAGGUAUUUCGGUAUGUAAAGCUCUAUCAGCAGGGAAGAUAAUGACGGUACCUGACUAAGAAGCACCGGCUAAAUACGUGCCAGCCGCCGCCGUAA